rnacentral:rRNA from 1 species
AUUGAACGCUGGCGGCAGGCCUAACACAUGCAAGUCGAGCGGAUGAAGGGAGCUUGCUCUUGGAUUCAGCGGCGGACGGGUGAGUAAUGCCUAGGAAUCUGCCUGGUAGUGGGGGAUAACGUCCGGAAACGGGCGCUAAUACCGCAUACGUCCUGAGGGAGAAAGUGGGGGAUCUUCGGACCUCACGCUAUCAGAUGAGCCUAGGUCGGAUUAGCUAGUUGGUGGGGUAAAGGCCUACCAAGGCGACGAUCCGUAACUGGUCUGAGAGGAUGAUCAGUCACACUGGAACUGAGACACGGUCCAGACUCCUACGGGAGGCAGCAGUGGGGAAUAUUGGACAAUGGGCGAAAGCCUGAUCCAGCCAUGCCGCGUGUGUGAAGAAGGUCUUCGGAUUGUAAAGCACUUUAAGUUGGGAGGAAGGGCAGUAAGUUAAUACCUUGCUGUUUUGACGUUACCAACAGAAUAAGCACCGGCUAACUUCGU